UACGAAGGGGGCUAGCGUUGCUCGGAAUCACUGGGCGUAAAGGGUGCGUAGGCGGGUCUUUAAGUCAGGGGUGAAAUCCUGGAGCUCAACUCCAGAACUGCCUUUGACUACUGAAGAUCUUGAGUUCGGGAGAGGUGAGUGGAACUGCGGAGUGUAGAGGUGAAAUUCGUAGAUAUUCGCAAGAACACCAGUGGCGAAGGCGGACUCACUGGCCCGAUACUGACGCUGAGGCACGAAAGCGUGGGGA
rnacentral:rRNA from 1 species